UCAUGCACAUUAUUAUAUUUGAAUUUUAGGUGAAUAUUCCAUGCAUCUUUUACGUAUGGUCUCUCCACUUCCGUUGAAUACCGCAACACUUUCUGACCUUAUUCUCAAAUAAAACUUCAUUCAGCCCUGUUUAAGCUUUAAUUGGACCAAUUGAAAUGAAGAAUUUCCAAUUUCCGACAGAGAUCUGUCGAGUGCACAAAGAUUGUGUAUCCUUAUCGUGUCCACAAUCAAGAACUAAUAAUUGUAAUUGGUGAAGGGUUAGUAGGCCAGCUCCUAAUUUUCUUAUCAGAGUCAACAUUAGCAUCCACAGGCACUUUUGUUCAUGCCAUGUGUUCUUCCCUCACAAUCUCCUUAUGAUUGAUUUGUCCACGGGAGAAUUGCCAUCACUUCGGUUCUUGCUUCAUUUCUUCUCUGGGUAAUGGAAUAAGGUGUGAGUGAAACACCUCACAUGAUGCCUUUCUUCUCCCUCCACUUGAGAAAGCAAAUUGUUCCUGUAAUUUGAAAUCGGCCGGCUUGCUGAGUUGCUGACUGUGCUGGUAAUUACCGGCAACAUGCUUUGCUCCUAGCAUUAUUGAUUAUCUUGUUUUAUUUUUUUUUUCCACAUCACAUAAAUGAAACAGUGUUGGGAGUUAAAUUUACUAGCACAGGAGCCAACUAAUCUUGUACCAGGCACAUUCAUCAGAAUUAUAUAUAUGCAGGCUUAGGCUACACAAAAGCUUGUACUAAACAGUACUACUAGUUAGACUUGUCAUCAUAGUGAAGUUAACAAAGUUAUCACUUAUCAGUGCAUCGUACUUGGCAUUAGCGGCCGACAGAGAAUCCGCCAGCCACACUCCCCACCUCUAGGGGAGGGGAGUGACAGUCAAGUAUCCCUUCAUUCUCCCUCUACAAUGCAGCUCAUGCAUAGCCUUUUGAUGGAAAAGCAGAAAUUCCAGAGAGGCAGCAAGAGCAUACCAUUUUGAUUAGCUCACCACUGGCUCUCCUGGUUGCCCUAAAGUAAGAAGUAGUGUAGUACACUUUUGUAGUUUUGUUGCUAAUCUAUUCGGCUAAUUCCUACUAUAUUGAUUUUGGAAUCUUGUGUUCUUUGGAUUUACUUACCUUUGUAUUCCUGCAAGGGUCAAGUGCUCAGGGGCGGAUCUACAGUAUAAGCGUCAGUGUCAAGCGACACCGAUGACUUUCGGCAAAACCUAUAACAAAACUGCUUAUCCAUAUACUAUAACACUAUGUUCUAAGUAUAAUUAGCAUACUAUGACACCGACAGACACGUUAUGACACCAACAAACUGAUUUUCUGGAUCCGCCACUGCAAGUGCUGACAGAGUUAUUGCAGACUCGCAGUCCGUCUUCAGUUGCAAACAGUUUGGAGGGUAGUUCUUGGUCGUCCAUUACUUCACUGAAGAUUCCGAAAUCCAACAAAAUUCAGGCCGUUCUUCAGAAAGAAGCAAGCACUGCAGAGCUGAACUCUGCUUCAUUGGAUGGUCAAAAAGGAAGGCUGCUGAAGAUUGGCUGCAUUUGGGCUCUUAGGAAUCGAUAUGUGCCUGCAGAAAGAUCGGUCAAGAUUAUUCCUCACGGUUAAUGCUGCACUGGCUGUUCAUUUGGUUAAAUUUUGCUUGAUAGCAGUAGGAUGUUUAGAGCUGCCAGCUUCAGGCUUCCGUAGUGCCGUGUUCAAGAAAUCAGUGUGUUGAUUCUAUGACUGAAAUAGUUUGCAAGACAUGGAUAGUAUAUAGAGAAAAUGUCGCUGCUUUUGCCAAUCGCAUCAUCAAGGCAGCAAAGCUAUUCCACUAUCUUGAUUCUAUGACAGUUGAAAGAGAUAUAAGCAUCUACGUAACUU
rnacentral:sRNA from 1 species